AGAUUUCUCUUGGCCAGUGCAGGGCCAGACACGGGCUAAGGUCCUCCUUGCUCAGAUAAUCCAAAUUCCCUUUGAAUGACUUACUACCGCAGGAGCAAUAAAUCAUUUUCCAGUGCUAUCUGCAGACAGCCAAGGGGUAACAGAGUGUAGACACAGAAUCCCAUCAGAAAAUCUCCGAGUUGUGUUGAGUCUCCUCUGUGACAAACUAAGCAAAAGCUGCAGCGUCAGCGUUUAGAGGAAACGCCCUGCUCCAUCCCACAAAGGAAGCAGCCCGGCCGUCAGCAUCCUGCUCCGGCAUGCUGGACGCACAGGCCCAGACACCCUGCCUCACCGGAACCUUCCACUCCCAGCUACCCGGAGGAGACCGAGGCUCAGAGAAGUAAUUUGCCCGUGAGCCCUGAAAGCGGCGAAGACGAGACGCAAGGUUGCCCGGAUUUGGCGUGCUGCCCGUCACCGCGGGGAUAUCUGGAGCCUCGUCCGCACUCCGCUGAGCUAGAGUCUGCUGAGCUGGUGCCAUUUUCCCCAGCGAGCUACGCGUGUGGAACUUGCUGGUCUUCUCCGACCACUGUUAGAAGAACAUUAACAGCAAAUCAUGGAAUGUUAAGGAUUUAAAGAACUCUUCAGAGGCCCUCUAGUUGCGCCCUUUUGUUUGAAGCACCAUCUAUGAGCCCAGGGCCUUCUGUUUAUCUUUGAUUUCUCCCAAGUAAAACCAGGGGGCAGAUGUGUGCAGCUCAGCAAGAAUCCUGCUUUGGGGAAAUACUUAUGUCUCCAGAGUUGGGACUGGCUUUGCGUAAAACGACGUGGGGUGGAGAGGGGCUCUCUGAUGAGCAAGGUGGAAGGGCAUCUCCCAAAGGCACACUGAGCCAUCUUUAAGCUGGGGGUGCUGCUGGGGGGCUAUAAAACAAAGCAGAUCUACAUAUUAUUCCAGACUCAGCUCUGUCCUUUUGAGGAAGCCAGCACUAAGAGCUAGUGUAACCCUUCCCUGGCAAUCUCCUACAGCUGGGGAGCAAGACCCCAUGGCCCCUGCCAGGCCUACAGAGGACAGGCACAGGGCGCCGACGGCUCUGGGGAGCUACUGCUGCAGUCAUGGCCCGGGCGGGCACCAGUAGCAUCCAAAGAGAAGCAAGGCCAAAAUUUUAGGUCAAUUCUGUCAAAAGAGAGGAAGAUUUAUUUAUUUAUUUAUUUUAGAAUUUACUCAGGAUUAUCAGAAACGAGAAAAAAAAACUCCAUUAUUUAAAAUCGAGCAGGAGUGAAAAUCCAGGAAGUGGACUACUUGCCUAAGCCUCCUAUGAAAACGAGCCUCAUCCACUGACGUCGCAAUCCAACCUCCUCACUCCUGCUCCCCGGGCAGAGCAAUGCUUUGUCCCACUCCACCAGCUGCCCCACAGGCACUGCCCCAUUAAGCCCUGGGACCGGUAACUCCCAACUUAAGAGAAGCUGAAAAGGCCUAUUCUGCACUGUUUUACACUAAAUCUUUUUUCCAAGAAACUUCACUAUAUAAAACAUUCUAAACUUGGGAACACUAACUUUUGCAUUAUUUCCUGCCCGGCAACAGAGCUCAGAGCAUGAUGCUCUCCUCUUGCCAGAUUUGGGCUGGCUGGAAGAAAAUACCCGUUCCUCUUUGAGCUUCUUUCCAUCACUUGUAGAGACAAACUGCCCAGCUACCAAAAUGAAAUGUUUCCCAGGUUUUCCUCCCACACCUAUGACCUUUGUUCCUUGAUUAAAUCCUGGAUUCCCCUCUAAACAGAACUGGACUGUGUCCAGCCUAUUUCUUCAUGUUCUUCAAACAUUAGCCCAGCAGAUGUCGGGUUUGUGUGGGUUUUUUUUUUCCUCCCCCAAGAGGUUUUUGUUUGGCUUUUGAGUUGGCUCCCGGGACUCUGAGUGGAAAGUCUGCAGCAAGUACCCCAUCCCGCCCUGCCACCCCCAGCAGGGCAGGA